rnacentral:rRNA from 1 species
CAAUAGCGUAUAUUAAAGUUGUUGCAGUUAAAAAGCUCGUAGUUGGAUUUCUGGUGGGAGCGAUCGGUCUGGCGCUUAGCGCGAGUACUUGCAUCGUCUCCGGCCAUCCUUGGGGAGAGUCUGUCUGGCAUUAAGUUGUCGGGCAGAGGAUCCUCAUCGUUUACUGUGAAAAAAUUGGAGUGUUCAAAGCAGGCUUAUGCCGUUGAAUAUAUUAGCAUGGAAUAAUAAGAUAGGACUUUGGUACUAUUUUGUUGGUUUGCGCAUCAAAGUAAUGAUUAAUAGGGACAGUUGGGGGUAUUCGUAUUCCGUUGUCAGAGGUGAAAUUCUUGGAUUUACGGAAGACGAACUACUGCGAAAGCAUUUACCAAGGAUGUUUUCAUUAA